rnacentral:rRNA from 1 species
AUUGAACGCUGGCGGCAUGCCUUACACAUGCAAGUCGAACGGUAACAGGUCUUCGGAUGCUGACGAGUGGCGAACGGGUGAGUAAUACAUCGGAACGUGCCUAGUAGUGGGGGAUAACGCAGCGAAAGCUGCGCUAAUACCGCAUACGAUCUAUGGAUGAAAGCGGGGGACCGUAAGGCCUCGCGCGAUUGGAGCGGCCGAUGUCAGAUUAGGUAGUUGGUGGGGUAAAGGCUCACCAAGCCAACGAUCUGUAGCUGGUCUGAGAGGACGACCAGCCACACUGGGACUGAGACACGGCCCAGACUCCUACGGGAGGCAGCAGUGGGGAAUUUUGGACAAUGGGCGCAAGCCUGAUCCAGCAAUGCCGCGUGCAGGAAGAAGGCCUUCGGGUUGUAAACUGCUUUUGUACGGAACGAAAAGGCUCUGGAUAAUACCUGGGGCUCAUGACGGUACCGUAAGAAUAAGCACCGGCUAACUACGUGCCAGCCGCCGCCGUAA